GCACAGUCAUGCCCCAAUAGCCUGUCCAGACAGAUUGCGAGAGGGGAAUCCGGUGCAAGUCCGGAGCGGUCGCGCCACUGUAACCGAAACACCGUUUCGGGAGCCAGACCCCCGAUUGCCGCUGAUCAACU
rnacentral:ncRNA from 1 species